rnacentral:rRNA from 1 species
GAUGAACGCUGGCGGCGUGCUUAACACAUGCAAGUCGAACGGAAAGGCUCCUGCUUGCAGGGGUACUCGAGUGGCGAACGGGUGAGUAACACGUGGGUGAUCUGCCCUGCACUUCGGGAUAAGCCUGGGAAACUGGGUCUAAUACCGGAUAGGACGAUGGUUUGGAUGCCAUUGUGGAAAGUUUUUCGGUGUGGGAUGAGCUCGCGGCCUAUCAGCUUGUUGGUGGGGUAAUGGCAUACCAAGGCGUCGACGGGUAGCCGGCCUGAGAGGGUGUACGGCCACAUUGGGACUGAGAUACGGCCCAGACUCCUACGGGAGGCAGCAGUGGGGAAUAUUGCACAAUGGGCGCAAGCCUGAUGCAGCGACGCCGCGUGGGGGAUGACGGCCUUCGGGUUGUAAACUCCUUUCGCUAGGGACGAAGCGUUUUGUGACGGUACCUGGAGAAGAAGCACCGGCUAACUACGUG